rnacentral:rRNA from 1 species
UCCAUGCCGUAAACGAUGGAUACUAGGUGUCGGGGGACUAGCCCCCUCGGUGCCGUAGCAAACGCGUUAAGUAUCCCGCCUGGGGAGUACGAUCGCAAGGUUGAAACUCAAAGGAAUUGACGGGGGCCCGCACAAGCGGUGGAGCAUGUGGUUUAAUUCGAUGCAACGCGAAGAACCUUACCUGGGCUUGAACCGCAUAUUGAUCUACUAUAGAGAUAUGGUAUUCUGAGCAAUCAGCAAAAUGCAGAGGUGCUGCAUGGCUGUCGUCAGCUCGUGUCGUGAGAUGUUGGGUUAAGUCCCGCAACGAGCGCAACCCUUAUCAUUAGUUACCAGCGAGUAAUGUCGGGACUCUAAUGAGACUG